rnacentral:misc_RNA from 1 species
GUAGGUGAACCUGCGGAAGGAUCAUUACUGAAGUGAGUCUUCAUUCAUUGAAGCUUCUUCCCAUUGUGCUGGCUUUGACCGUAUGUUAUGUUGGGGAUUAAACAUGGUUAAGAAAAAAAGAUUUUAUUUUUUUUUCUUGGCCGUCCCCAACAAUUAUCUUAUCCUUUAUUAAAUUGAACUGAACUCAUUUUGAGAUUACAUAAAAAAAUAAUCUUAUAAUACAACUUUCAACAACGGAUCUCUUGGUUCUC